rnacentral:rRNA from 1 species
GACGAACGCUGGCGGCGUGCUUAACACAUGCAAGUCGAACGGAAAGGCCCUGCUUUUGUGGGGUGCUCGAGUGGCGAACGGGUGAGUAACACGUGAGUAACGUGCCCUUGACUUUGGGAUAACUUCAGGAAACUGGGGCUAAUACCGGAUAGGAGCUCCUGCUGCAUGGUGGGGGUUGGAAAGUUUCGGCGGUUGGGGAUGGACUCGCGGCUUAUCAGCUUGUUGGUGGGGUAGUGGCUUACCAAGGCUUUGACGUGUAGCCGGCCUGAGAGGGUGACCGGCCACAUUGGGACUGAGAUACGGCCCAGACUCCUACGGGAGGCAGCAGUGGGGAAUAUUGCACAAUGGGCGGAAGCCUGAUGCAGCAACGCCGCGUGCGGGAUGACGGCCUUCGGUUUGUAAACCGCUUUCGCCUGUGACGAAGCGUGAGUGACGGUAAUGGGUAAAGAAGCACCGGCUAACUACGUG